GGAUGUAGCUCAGUUGGUAGAGUGCUUGCCUUGAAAGUGCAAGGCCCUGGGUUUAAUCCUCAACACCA
rnacentral:tRNA from 1 species